GACGCCCUGGGUGGGAGGGUGGACCCCGCGGCGCCGUGCUAGGCCUGCCUCCAGCCGGGCCACCUGAGUCCUGGCUGUGCGGGUCGCCUAGGCCGCCAUGCUCCCGGCCCCGUUUGGGGCCCUGGCCCUGGGCCCCCCGUCCUUGGCCCGGGCCCCAGAGCGCCCAAGGCCUCCUUCCGCGCGGGCGCAAAGUUCGCCGGCCUACAGGACGCCCGACCAGCGCCAUUUUCUCGCACUUGUGGCUGGGUCUGUUUUCGCGGUGACUCCGCCCCAGAGCGGUCCGGGUACUGGCCUCUGUCCCCCCCCGAGGGCUGACUGACUGCGGGGAAAGAGCCAGGCCUGGGAGUCACAUUCCGGACAAUCUCAGCUAAGAAAUCUGCUCCUGAUCGCCGCUUCCGCGACUCGAUGGAAAUGAAACGCCAUUAAUAUUUGAAAAGGCAAUUAUUUUCCUGUUGAAUCGAAAACUGUCUUCAUGAAUAAUUUGUAGAGAGUUCUAUUGCCAUUUGAGAAACAUUUUGUUGCUGCUUUGCCUCCUCCUUUUCUUCCCAUUGCUUAGGAGAUUUGAGGGAGACCCCGGAACAGGGGUGGAUCUGUAGGGUUUUUGUUUUGUUUUCCCUUUUUUUUAAGCCCAAGCUGUAAUGAAUCAGGUCUGAGACCGAAAAGAACGCACAGAAUUCUGCCUUGAGUCCUUACAAACCCAAGAGCCAGCCAGGCACACUUGUGCUUCUCUGGUGUAGGUCGGUUGCGCUAAGAAUUUAACCAUUUUCUGCUUCACAGACUUUAAACAGUGGGCCGGCAAAGAGCAGUAUAAGUUUGUUUGCUUCAAAAUCCCUGUCAUUAAAGAUGAGUUCUUUCUCCAGCCCCGGAGUGUGCAUCCACCUUCCAGGUGCUGGCAAGCAGCCCCUGGAGCAGCGAGUCUCGGGGUUGGAAUUAUGGUUUUUAGUCAUCCCUCUGUCCCUGGGAACAUAACUCGGGGAGAGGGAGAGAGAGAGAGGAGCAGAUGAGUGAGAGAGAUUCAGAGCGUGCUCUAGAAAACCGCACAAGAUGUUUGCAGACAUGCUGGGGGGGGGGAUAAAGAACAGAUCCAAACUGGACUUUGGUCUUGCCUCAGCCUAUGGCAGUGUUCUUUCUAACCCUAAACCUCAUGGAGACGGCAGUUUGUAGCAAGCUUCUUCCCGGACGCUGCAGCCAUCGGGGACUCUUGACUCUUAAAAAGGUGGCUGUUCUAAAGGGAACUGUAGAAAGGAAAGAUACUGCCCGGAGAGCUGGAGUACCAAGCUGGAAUUCUUCCGAUCUCUCCGCAUCAUUCUUCCCUUUUCCCGCCUCCAAGAUGGGGGAGGGGAGAAGACGCUGACUUCUUAAACUUCAAGGGGUGGGGGGAGAAAGGAGAGUCAAAGGGUGGCUGCUAAACUAAUUAAUGUAACUUCACAGGCUGUUCGGAAAGUGUGAAAACUUUCUUCUUGCAAUUGUAUUAAUUAGAUGCUUCUGGCCAGAA